rnacentral:rRNA from 1 species
GACGAAGGGGGCUAGCGUUGUUCGGAAUUACUGGGCGUAAAGCGAGUGUAGGUGGUUGUCCAAGUUGGAUGUGAAAGCCUUGAGCUCAACUCAAGGAAUGCAUUCAGGACUGGGCGGCUAGAGGACCGGAGAGGAUAGUGGAAUUCCCAGUGUAGUGGUGAAAUACGUAGAGAUUGGGAAGAACACCAGUGGCGAAGGCGGCUAUCUGGACGGUUUCUGACACUAAGACUCGAAAGCGUGGGGAGCGAACAGG